AGGAGUGUAGCUCAAUGGUAGAGCACCGGUCUCCAAAACCGGGUGUUGCGGGUUCAAGUCCUGUCUCUCCUG
rfam:Orientia tsutsugamushi Boryong complete genome